GAUGAACGCUAGCGGCGGGCUUAAUACAUGCAAGUCGUGGGGCAGCAUGAAUGUAGCAAUACAUUUGAUGGCGACCGGCAAACGGGUGCGGAACACGUACACAACCUUCCUAUAAGUGGGGGAUAGCCCAGAGAAAUUUGGAUUAAUACCCUGUAACAUAACGAUGUGGCAUCACAUUGUUAUUAUAGCUUCGUCGCCUAUUGAUGGGUGUGCGGCUGAUUAGAUAGUUGGCGGGGUAACGGCCCACCAAGUCUACGAUCAGUAGCUGAUGUGAGAGCAUGAUCAGCCACACGGGCACUGAGACACGGGCCCGACUCCUACGGGAGGCAGCAGUAAGGAAUAUUGGUCAAUGGACGCAAGUCUGAACCAGCCAUGCCGCGUGAAGGAUUAAGGUCCUCUGGAUUGUAAACUUCUUUUAUCUGGGACGAAAAAAGGCGAUUCUUCGUCACUUGACGGUACCAGAUGAAUAAGCACCGGCUAACUUCGUGCCAGCCGCCGCGGUAACAC
rnacentral:rRNA from 1 species